UUCUUCUUCUCUAUUUGAAUUCCAGCAGUGUUGACACUACUAAGUGUAUUACUGCCCUCCACAGGUCAAAGUUUGAACUAGUUGUUAUAUACUUGCACUAGCAUAUUGUAUAUGACAAUUUAUUUCAAACUUCAUCCAUUUGAAGGCCAUUGAAGUCCACUAUAUGGAGAAAAAUCCUGGAAUGUUUUCAUCAAAAACCUUCUUUUCGACUGAAGAAAGAAAGACAUGAACAUCUUGGAUGACAUGGGGUGUAUGUGCUGACAUCAUCCUGCCCUGUGGGAGUCAGUACAGGGGUGGGCUACGCAUGCAGAAGGUGAACUGGAGGUGAACGGGAUCAACACCUGCAGGGAAACAGUGCCAGAGAGAUUACAUGUUCUGAGAAAGAGGAUUGAUUACAAAGGAGGUGAGAGAAAACCGAACCAGAGGACUGCACAUACCUUACAACCACUGAGCUGACUUUUACAUAAGCUGGACAGAUACAAGCAAAACUUUCACCUACUAACAUGCCAAUGAAAAAUUAGACACAGAUCAUAACACUGAAUCUAAAUUCUGAUUGGAUGAGCCAAUCUGUUCUGUCAAUGGAUCUGCUCUGUCGUCAUUUACUCGCACUCAUGUGUUUCAAAAGCUUUUGGUGCAACACAAAAUAAGUUAUUUAUUUAAGCAGAAGAGUUAUGUCAGGUUUGUUCUCUUUUAUGGACUUUCUGUUUGAAUCACAUUUUGUUUUCUGUUUUAUUUUGUUCCCCACAUUCCCAUAUUUCAUUUGUU